rnacentral:lncRNA from 1 species
GGGAGGGACGCAUCCGGUGCAUUCUCGAGAUCCAGUUGCCGGCACCUGGAAUCUGCUUGCGCGAGGCAGUGGCGGCACCGACGGCCCGAGGUUCCCGGUCACCAGGUUGCGGAGGAUCGUGCGGGUAGCAAAAGGAAGGCGAGUGCUCCUGCGGCCCCAGACAGCAACCAGAAUUGGACAAGGUGAUCUUAAAAUUCGUAUGGAGGGACUUCCCUGGUGGCCCAUGAUUAAGACUUCCCACUGCAGGGGGCACAGAUUUGAUCCCUGGCAAGAAUACUGGAGUGGUUUGCCAUUUCCUUCUCCAAGGGAUCUUCCUGACCCAGGGAUCGAACCCAGGUCUCCUGCAUUGUAGGCGGAUUCUUAACCACUGAGCCAGCAGGGAAGCCUUACUUCAUGAGGAUCAUCUCACAUUUGGAUUUGAAUGCCCAAGAAGCCCUCAUUCCUCAGCUUAAAUGUCUGAUUUGUAUACAAAAUGUUUGAGAGAAGCAACAAUACAAAACAGAUGAUUCUGUGUUAAACUAUUCCAACAAAUAUUUCAUGAAUUACUUUUUAUUUUGGAGCAAUCACAAAGACAAGUUGCAAGAACAGUACAGAGAAUUUUUUUCCCGAACCAUUUGAGAGCAAGUUGCAGACCUAGUGACCCAUCACUUCUGAAUAUUUCAAUGUGC